rnacentral:rRNA from 1 species
UUCUGUGUGCACGAUGACGGUCUUCGGAUUGUAAAGUGCUUUCAGUUGGGAAGAAAGAAAUGACGGUACCAACAGAAGAAGCGACGGCUAAAUACGUGCCAGCAGCCGCGGUAAUACGUAUGUCGCAAGCGUUAUCCGGAUUUAUUGGGCGUAAAGCGCGUCUAGGUGGUUUGAUAAGUCUGAUGUGAAAAUGCGGGGCUCAACUCCGUAUUGCGUUGGAAACUGUCAAACUAGAGUAUCGGAGAGGUGGGCGGAACUACAAGUGUAGAGGUGAAAUUCGUAGAUAUUUGUAGGAAUGCCGAUAGAGAAGUCAGCUCACUGGACGAAUACUGACACUGAAGCGCGAAAGCAUGGGGAGCAAACAGGAUUAGAUACCCUGGUAGUCCAUGCCGUAAACGAUGAUUACUAAGCGUCGGGGGUCGAACCUCGGCACUCAAGCUAACGCGAUAAGUAAUCCGCCUGGGGAGUACGUACGCAAGUAUGAAACUCAAA